GUAGGAGGCGAGCGUUAUCCGGAUUCACUGGGCGUAAAGCGCGUGCAGGUGGCGCGGUAAGUUGGGUGUGAAAUCUCCCGGCUCAACUGGGAGAGGUCAUUCAAUACUACCGUGCUUGAGAGCAGAAGAGGAAGAUGGAAUUCCCGGUGUAGUGGUGAAAUGCGUAGAUAUCGGGAGGAACACCAGUGGCGAAGGCGAUCUUCUGGUCUGUUUCUGACACUCAGACGCGACAGCUAGGGUAGUAAACGGGAUUAGAGACCCCGGUAAUCCUAGCCGUAAACGAUGUGAACUUGGCGUUGGUGGGUUAAACUCCAUCAGUGCCGUAGCAAACGCGAUAAGUUCACCGCCUGGGGACUACGGCCGCAAGGUUAAA
rnacentral:rRNA from 1 species